rnacentral:rRNA from 1 species
AUUGAACGCUGGCGGCAUGCUUUACACAUGCAAGUCGAACGGCAGCGCGGGCUUCGGCCUGGCGGCGAGUGGCGAACGGGUGAGUAAUGCAUCGGAACGUGCCCAGUAGUGGGGGAUAGCCCGGCGAAAGCCGGAUUAAUACCGCAUACGACCUGAGGGUGAAAGCGGGGGAGCGAAAGGCCUCGCGCGAUUGGAGCGGCCGAUGUCGGAUUACCUAGUUGGUGGGGGAAAGGCUUACCAAGGCGACGAUCCGUAGCGGGUCUGAGAGGACGACCAGCCACACUGGGACUGAGACACGGCCCAGACUCCUACGGGAGGCCGCAGUGGGGAAUUUUGGACAAUGGGGGCAACCCUGCUCCAGCCAUGCCGCGUGCGGGCAGAAGGCCUUCGGGUUGUAAACCGCUUUUGUUCGGGAAGACCGCCUCUGGGCUAAUACCCCGGGGGGAUGACGGUACCGGAAGAAUAAGCACCGGCUAACUACGUG